ACCAUUUCUAUGGGCAAGGAGAGAAACAGAGAAGAAAAAUGGUUCUUAUUACAAGAGUAAUCAUAAAUGCUCAGCUACAAUUGAAAAGCCUAGGAUGAAACAAGACUCUAUGAUGGCAUCAAAGUAUGGUGUUCACAAGCGGUUUCUAUCUAUUUCAAUGCACAGUGGAUCAGAUUACUUUAUAUCUUUAAUAUCCUGAAGUGUUACUUACCAACCAGAGAAAAGCUGGUGUGCCGAUCUCUUACCUCCAUUAUUCUGAGAACAAGCAGUCUUUCAAAGAAAGGAACAGGAGAUAGCCUCAUCGCUGGAAAAACAAAGACAUGCAAGACGCAAGUCUGAAACUUCAACAUCGUGGUAGUGCGUUGGGGGAUGAACUCCCAUGUAUAAACAACGACAGUAAUGCAUGAACAAAGGUCUGUACAGUCCUCUGCAAGCAGAGCCAUUCCAGCCCAGAGAGGGAGUGUCUCCCCAAAAGUUUCAGGUAGAAGUGGUAUUUGAGCAAAGAUGAUUGAAAUGUGAUUCCCUUCUAAUUUCUAAGCCUUCAAUGCUCUCUAACUGCUGAAUCGAUAAAUGAGGUAAAUACGUCAUGGUAUCAGAGGAAGAGCUCUCCUGGAAAUAGAGAGGUCAGAGAAGAAAAGGGGGCAUCUCCUCUGUGGUCCAGGAAGAGCAGCAAUCAGGCAGCGCAGGAAGGUGAAAAGAGCAUUCUGAGCCAAAGCGUAGAUCACCUAAGAGAGGAAAGUGGGGCAUCUGGGAAGCUUCUAACCUUC
ensembl:lncRNA